GAGAUCCACACCUUGUGUUUGUACCAGGUUUUAGGAUUUCACUCUGCUCCCUCUGGCUUGUUCAGUGCUUUAGGCAUUUGGACCUGUCAUGCUUCUCUCCAGUCUCCUUCUAGGCAGACCACUUACAUCCAGCAGGCCAGGUGGGGAGGUGUAGCCUGAGCUCGUGGGCUCAGUGACAGGGAGGACCAAAGACCAUGGCAGAGUCCCGGUCCAGGACAGUCCUCCCUCAUACAAGACAGGCAUCUGACAGCAGAAACAAAACCCAUGGUCACCUGACCUCUAAGAGGGACAGAUUGAUUCACUUUGGAGCUGUAAGUACUGAUGUAUUAGGGUGCAGCGCUCAUUGUUCAUUGACGCACAGAGUCCCAAAAUGAAUAUCCAAGAGCAGGGUUUCCCCUUGGACCUCGGAGCAAGUUUCACCGAAGAUGCCCCCCGACCCCCAGUGCCUGGUGAGGAGGGUGAACUGGUGUCCACGGACCCCAGGCCCAUCAGCCACAGCUUCUGCUCUGGGAAAGGUGCCGGGAUUAAAGGUGAGACUUCAACAGCCACUCCGAGGCGCUCAGAUCUGGACCUGGGGUACGAGCCUGAGGGCAGCGCUUCGCCCACCCCUCCGUACUUGAAGUGGGCCGAGUCGCUGCACUCCCUACUGGAUGAUCAAGACGGGAUAAACCUGUUUAGAACUUUUCUGAAGCAGGAGGACUGUGCUGAUCUCCUGGACUUCUGGUUUGCCUGCAGCGGCUUCAGGAAACUGGAGCCCUGUGACUCGAAUGAGGAGAAGAGGCUGAAGCUGGCCAGAGCUAUCUACCGCAAGUACAUCCUCGAUAACAAUGGCAUUGUGUCCAGGCAGACCAAGCCAGCCACCAAGAGCUUCAUAAAGGACUGCAUCAUGAAGCAGCAGAUUGAUCCUGCCAUGUUUGACCAGGCCCAGACGGAAAUCCAGUCUACCAUGGAGGAGAACACCUACCCCUCGUUCCUCAAGUCCGAUAUUUAUUUGGAGUACACGAGGACAGGCUCGGAGAGCCCAAAGCUCUGCAGUGACCAGAGCUCCGGGUCGGGGACAGGGAAGGGAGUACCUGGAUACCUACCCACUUUGAACGAAGAUGAGGAAUGGAAAUGUGACCAAGACGUAGACGAAGACGAUGGCAGAGACCCUGCUCCCCCCGGCAGGCUCACGCAGAAGCUGCUCCUGGAAACCGCUGCCCCGAGGGCCUCCUCAAGUAGACGGUACAGCGAAGGCAGAGAGUUCAGGUAUGGAUCCUGGCGGGAGCCUGUCAACCCCUACUAUGUCAACUCCGGCUAUGCCCUCGCCCCAGCCACCAGCGCCAACGACAGUGAGCAGCAGAGCCUGUCCAGCGAUGCUGACAGCCUGUCCCUCACCGACAGCAGCGUGGAUGGAGUCCCACCUUACAGGAUCCGCAAGCAGCACCGCCGGGAGAUGCAGGAGAGCGUCCAGGUCAACGGGCGCGUGCCUCUACCUCACAUUCCUCGCACGUACCGAAUGCCAAAGGAAGUCCGUGUGGAGCCCCAGAAGUUUGCCGCAGAGCUCAUCCACCGCCUGGAGGCUGUGCAGCGGACGCGGGAGGCCGAGGAGAAGCUGGAGGAGCGGCUGAAGCGCGUCCGGAUGGAGGAAGAAGGUGAGGAUGGUGAUGUGUCCUCUGGCCCCCCAGGGGCCAGUCAUAAGCUGCCUUCAGCCCCGGCCUGGCACCACUUCCCACCCCGCUAUGCAGAUGUGAGCUGUGUGGGGCUGCGGGAUGCACACGAGGAGAACCCGGAGAGCAUCCUGGACGAGCAUGUGCAGCGAGUCAUGAGGACACCGGGCUGCCAGUCACCAGGGCCCGGCCACCGCUCCCCGGACAGUGCGCACAUGCCCAAGAUGGGAGCGCUAGGAGGCACAGUGCCCGGGCAUGGAAAGCACGUGCCCAAGUCGGGGGCGAAGCUGGACACAGCUGGCCUGCACCUCCACAGACACGGCCACCACCACGGCCACCAUGGCUCAGCCAGGCCCAAGGAGCCUGCCGAGGCCGAGGCCCCCCGCCGGGUCCAGAGCAGCUUCGCGUGGGGCCCAGAGCUGCACGGCCACGCGGCCAAGCCCCGAAGCCACGUGGAGAGCAUGGGCGCCGCCCCCACCACCAGUGACAGCCUGGCCUACAGCGGGAAGGCAAGCAUGACCUCCAAAAGAAACUCCAAGAAGGCUGAGUCGGGGAAGAGCACCAGCGUGGAGGCGCCAGGCCCCUCUGAGGAUGCAGAGAAGAACCAGAAAAUCAUGCAGUGGAUCAUCGAGGGCGAGAAGGAGAUCAGCAGGCACCGGAAGGCUGGCCACGGGUCGUCCGGGGCAAAAAAGCAGCAGGCCCACGAGAGCUCCCGGCCCUUGUCCAUCGAGCGCCCCGGGGCCGUGCACCCCUGGGUCAGCGCCCAGCUCCGGACCUCCGUGCAGCCCUCGCAUCUCUUCAUCCAGGACCCCACGAUGCCGCCCAACCCGGCCCCCAACCCUCUGACGCAGCUGGAGGAGGCCCGCCGGCGCCUGGAGGAGGAGGAGAAGAGGGCCAGCAAGGCGCCCUCGAGGCAGAGGUACGGGACCUCGGGAGAGCAGGGCUGCCUGCUGUGUGGCCGAGGGCUGGGAGGGCAGGUGGUCAUCACACUGUCCCUCUGGGGAGGGAGGGGGAGCCCUUCCUGUGUCGCAACUGCCCUGCACAUGCGCUCACUCGCCCUUACCUUGGGACUGCUGGAGGUCACAGUCAGAUGACCAUUGGCUGCUGUGCUGGCUGAACCAGGAGGGGGCGGUCCUGGGGGCUCCCAGCUGCCUCCACGAAGGGGGCCCGAAACAUGUGGUUCACAGCUACAUGGAAGGGAGCCCCGAUGUCAUGUGCAGGCAGGACGUUGGUGCUGAGAUGUGUGUGGGUGUAAACUCUUCUCCUGGAAAGACCCCAGCCCCACAGCCCUCCUCACUGUGCCCUGCUUGGCCUUCAGGGCCAGGGUGGCCCCAGGGGGCCAGGAAGGCCUCCCCUUUAUGGGGGACAGGUCGUCCCUCCAGGCUGGGUCCUUGCAGCUCGGCCCUUGAGGUCACUUUCCCGGGCCUGCUGACCCAUCAGGAUUCCCAGGUGGAUCAGGGUCUCUGAGGGGCCUGGAAAUCUGGAGAGUGUGGUCAUCAAACUGCAGCCACUGUUUUUCUUGGAUGUUACUGGCUCCCAUUGCCCUCGGUCAGCUGGGCAUCUGGGGUCUGGCCUCACCGUGUUUGGGUCCGUGCUGCUCUGGGGAAGCUGGCGUCAGGGUGCAGACCCUGCCCAGCGUCCGUCUUGGGCAUAGCUGGAAGCCCGCAUGUAUCCCCCGGGUCACUGAAGGUGACCAUGUUUACGCCUAGCUGUCUCACACCCCGUGAUCUCGCUCGUCAGCAUAGAGCCGGGGAGCAGGCUUGUGCAGGUGGCCUCGCCUGAUGCUAGCCUGUAAGCUGGAGGCCAGCGGGGCAGCAGUGGGGCCACCGUGGGGGCCAGGGCGUGUGGACACCCUCCCUGCCGUGAGGACCCCCUGCAGGGGAUUCCUGGCCCAUCAUCCUUGCUGCCCGCUGUCUGUUCUUCCUGUGAGUACUCACAGGCCCUGCCCAGCGGCACGUCCUGUCUGGCUGGUGACGCUGAGCUGAGCACAUGGGCGGCUCUGGCACCUCCACGGUGGUCAGUCUAGGGCACGUGGGCCUUUUGUAAAUGGCUACAGACCAGAGAGCUGGGCCCUCCUCGUGGGGUGACCUCCACCCAGGCCAGUGAAGGUAGAAGUUGUGUCAGGGCCACAGAGCAUCGCCCCCAGGGUGGAAGGCCACUGGGAGAGGAGCUGCCAGGCAGCGAGUCCCCUUCAGAUGGAGCAGCGGCCGCGCUCCAGAGCCCAGGUCUGUGUCGAGUGCUGAGUAGGAAGAGCUGCACCCCAGGGAGGAGGCCAGGGCAGCUCCUCUUGGAAGGCGAAGGCUCCUCUGAGUGUGCAUGAAGUGACAGGACCCCAGCAUGUUCCCGGUGCCCGAGGCUCUGCCCAGAUGAGGGUCUGGGAACCCUGGAUGGAUGGAAGCAGCAUCGGCCUCUCGACUCAUCCUGAUGGAGCCCUGAUCCUCCCGCCCUGCUCCACAACCCAAGGAGGGCUUUGGUGUCCUGUCCGCUGCACACAGUGGGAGCCUCAUCUGUGGUGACAGAGCGUCUUGGGAGCCCCUGCUCCGUCUUCCCGCUGGUCUCCUGUGGUCACCGCCAACUGCUGCUGGAGGCCCUGCCCAGGCCCAUGCGGCUCACUGACGCCGUUGUUCCCUAGGACAAAAUCGCAGAGGAAGGCAGGCGGUGGGAGUGCCCAGUCGUGUGACAGCAUCGUCGUGGCCUACUAUUUCUGUGGGGAGCCCAUCCCCUACCGGACCCUGGUGAGGGGCCGUGCGGUCACCCUGGGCCAGUUCAAG